rnacentral:rRNA from 1 species
UACGUAGGUGGCAAGCGUUGUCCGGAUUUACUGGGCGUAAAGAGCGCGCAGGCGGUCGGAUAAGUCGAAUGUGAAAGCCCCUGGCUCAACCAGGGAGGGUCAUUCGAUACUGUUCGACUCGAAGGCAGGAGAGGGAAGCGGAAUUCCCGGUGUAGUGGUGAAAUGCGUAGAUAUCGGGAGGAACACCAGUGGCGAAGGCGGCUUUCUGGCCUGUUCUUGACGCUGAGGCGCGAAAGCUAGGGGAGCAAAGCGGG